AAUGUCAGCACCUUUUGCUGGAGCAGUGAUGAUAACUUUCUUGGCACCAGCUUGGAUGUGCUUCCCAGCACCCGGACCAUCAACGAACACACCGGUUCCCUGUGAGUUUUCAAACAACAUUAUUAGCAAAUAAUGAGUAACUUUUGGAGGAUCAGGCACACAUCUGACAACAUUUUGGAAGGGUCCGAGCAGCAUAGGUAAAGCUCACAUUCUUGACACCACCACUGUCAUUGACGACAACGACAUCUAGUGGUGAGUCCUUGCGUCCAUGCCAACAACGGAGGAAGUUCCUGCCAAUUCGUCCGAAACCAUUGAUGGCAACCUUCAAUUUGGCAAC